UACGUAGGGUGCUAGCGUUGUCCGGAAUCAUUGGGCGUAAAGCGCGUGUAGGCGGCCCGGUAAGUCCGCUGUGAAAGUCGGGGGCUCAACCCUCGAAUGCCGGUGGAUACUGUCGGGCUCGAGUACGGGAGAGGCGAGUGGAAUUCCUGGUGUAGCGGUGAAAUGCGCAGAUAUCAGGAGGAACACCGGUGGCGAAGGCGGGUCUCUGGGCCGAUACUGACGCUGAGGAGCGAAAGCGUGGGGAGCGAACAGG
rnacentral:rRNA from 1 species